GGAUCUUAUAAUGUAUGAUGUCGUUGUCAUCUGUGUCUGCGUCGUCGUCUGUGUGUAUUGUGAUUUUGGGAUGAUGGUCACAACCGUUCAGGACUAAGGGGCCACAAAGGGGGCUAAAAACAAACAUUUUUCUAGUUUCAGGAUAAUAACUAUUGUAUUAGUAUUUAUAUUGCUCUGAAAUUGCACCACAAUGUUUAAUACCACAAGUAGAAGGUUGGGAUUCAUUAAGGGGUUAUGGGGAUAACAGAUUCGAAAUUAAGGGCAAAAAAGGAGCCAAAAACUAGCCUUUUUCUAGUUUCCAGACAAUAACGUGGGUGUUAGUGUAUGGAUCUCUCUGACAUUGUACCAUAUAACAUAGGGAAGGCUGGGAUUGAUUAUGGGGUUAAUUACCCAAAACAUGGAG
rnacentral:lncRNA from 1 species